UCUUAUGGAUGAGCAAAGAAAGUGGUUUCUUAAGAUGUAAUCUACUCCUGGUAAGAUGCUGUGAA
rnacentral:pre_miRNA from 1 species